AACGAACGCUGGCGGCGCGCCUAACACAUGCAAGUCGAACGAGAGUCCGGGGCAACCCGGUAGUAAAGUGGCAAACGGGUGAGGAAUACAUGGGUAACCUACCCUUGAGAAGGGAAUAACCCGCCGAAAGGUGAGCUAAUACCCUAUACGCUAUCUUUUUUUCGAAAAGGAUAGGAAAGCCGGGUCGAGGACCUGGUACUCAAGGAGGGGCUCAUGUCCUAUCAGCUUGUUGGUGGGGUAACGGCCUACCAAGGCUACGACGGGUAGCUGGUCUGAGAGGAUGAUCAGCCACACUGGCACUGAGAUACGGGCCAGACUCCUACGGGAGGCAGCAGUGAGGAAUAUUGCGCAAUGGGCGAAAGCCUGACGCAGCGACGCCGCGUGGGGGAUGAAGGUUUUCGGAUUGUAAACCCCUUUCAUGAGGAAAGAUAAAGUGGGUAACCACUUAGACGGUACCUCAAGAAGAAGUCACGGCUAACUUCGUG
rnacentral:rRNA from 1 species